rnacentral:rRNA from 1 species
UACGUAGGGUGCAAGCGUUAAUCGGAAUUACUGGGCGUAAAGCGUGCGCAGGCGGUUUUGUAAGUCUGACGUGAAAUCCCCGGGCUCAACCUGGGAAUUGCGUUGGAGACUGCAAGGCUGGAGUCUGGCAGAGGGGGGUAGAAUUCCACGUGUAGCAGUGAAAUGCGUAGAGAUGUGGAGGAACACCGAUGGCGAAGGCAGCCCCCCUGGGUCAAGAUUGACGCUCAUGCACGAAAGGCGUGGGGAGCAAACAGG